rnacentral:rRNA from 1 species
AGUGAACGCUGGCGGUAGGCCUAACACAUGCAAGUCGAACGGCAGCACAGUAAGAGCUUGCUCUUACGGGUGGCGCGUGGCGGACGGGUGAGGAGUACAUCGGAAUCUACUUUUUCGUGGGGGCUAACGUAGGGAAACUUAUGCUAAUACCGCAUACGACCUACGGGUGAAAGCAGGCGUACUUCGGACCUUGCGCGGUUGAAUUAGCCGAUGUCGGAUUAGCUAGUUGGCGGGGCAAAGGCCCACCAAGGCGACGCUCCGUAGCGGGUCUGAGCGCAUGAUCAGCCACACUGGAACUGAGACACGGCCCAGACUCCUGCGGGAGGCCGCAGUGGGGAAUCUUGCGCGAUGGGGGCAAGCCGGAUCUAGCAAAACCGGGGGAAGGAUGAAGGCCUUCGGCUUGUAAAGCGCUUUUGUUGGUAAAGAAGAGCAGCUGUUUUAUCCGCGACGGUUCUGACGGUACCCAAAGAAUAAGCACCGGCUAACUUCGUG